UCAAACUUGGUCAUUUAGAGGAAGUAAAAGUCGUAACAAGGUUUCCGUAGGUGAACCUGCGGAAGGAUCAUUAGAAAUGGAGGGGCUGUCCGCCCACCACCAUAAGCCACUGUAAGCACCAGCGGGUUGGAAUAAACCCCUCAUCUUGAAAAGAAAGCCAUUUUGCCUGGGCAAUGCCCCGGGAGCCCAGCAUCAUCCUCCAAUUAUUAAAGCCGAUCCAUUGAGAUCGUACGCGAUCUCAGGUACCUUAAGCUGCCUGUUGGUGUUAACAGUUUCACCCCUUGUGAAAACCCCCUGUUGCUUCGGCAGCUCCUCUCCAUCCCUGGGGAGGGUUAGCCUGCCGGCAGCACCUAAGGAAACCCUUUUAAUGGAAAGAAAGAAUUGACAACGUCUGAGAGCGCAGUUGAAUGACGCAUAAAACUUUCAACAACGGAUCUCUUGGUUCCCGCAUCGAUGAAGAACGCAGC
rnacentral:misc_RNA from 1 species